rnacentral:rRNA from 1 species
GACGAACGCUGGCGGCGUGCCUAAUACAUGCAAGUAGAACGCUGAAGAGAGGAGCUUGCUCUUCUUGGAUGAGUUGCGAACGGGUGAGUAACGCGUAGGUAACCUGCCUUGUAGCGGGGGAUAACUAUUGGAAACGAUAGCUAAUACCGCAUAACAAUGGAUGACACAUGUCAUUUAUUUGAAAGGGGCAAUUGCUCCACUACAAGAUGGACCUGCGUUGUAUUAGCUAGUAGGUGAGGUAAUGGCUCACCUAGGCGACGAUACAUAGCCGACCUGAGAGGGUGAUCGGCCACACUGGGACUGAGACACGGCCCAGACUCCUACGGGAGGCAGCAGUAGGGAAUCUUCGGCAAUGGGGGCAACCCUGACCGAGCAACGCCGCGUGAGUGAAGAAGGUUUUCGGAUCGUAAAGCUCUGUUGUAAGUCAAGAACGGGUGUGAGAGUGGAAAGUUCACACUGUGACGGCAGCUUACCAGAAAGGGACGGCUAACUACGUG